rnacentral:rRNA from 1 species
CAACUCUUCAAGGUUGACCUCAGAUCAGGUAG